CACAGAUAGCUUGCUAACAUUGUGCUGCAUAACGUCACUUGUGUGGUUGUAGGCCAAACUCAUUGAAUUUGAGCCAAAACUAAGUGCAUCUACCGUUCAAAUUCCUCAUGGUGUAGACUUUGUUGUUGCCAACUCAUUGGUUGUUGCCAACAAAACUGGUGCUGAAUCUCAGUAUAACACACGAGUUGUGGAGUGCAGACUGGCAGCUCAAGUGAUUGCCCAUGUUCGUCACAUUACACCGAAAAACAAUCGAAGGUUGUGUGACAUUCAGCAAGCUCUAAAUCUUUCAAGACAGGAGAUGUUAUCUGUUGUUGAAGAAAUUCUUCACUGUGAACCAUAUACCAGAGAGGAGCUUGCAAGCAUUCUAGAAGUGACUGUUAGUUUUUUGGAUGCAGAGUUAGUUGAGCUAAGUCUAAAGAGCAAGAAUGACUCAACACUGCUUUUGACAAAAUUUCAACUUCAUGACCGAGCUAUUCAUGUAUUUUCUGAAGCAGAAAGAGUUCAUUCAUUCAAGCGUUUGUGUGAUGAGGGAGCACCUGAUGCUGCUGUGCGUCUUGGUGAAAUGAUGAAUGAAAGUCAUAGCAGUUGCAGUGUACUGUAUGAGUGCAGUUGUCGAGAACUUGAUGAAUUGACAAAGAUAUGCAGGU